CCUACGGGGGGCUGCAGUGGGGAAUAUUGGACAAUGGGGGGAACCCUGAUCCAGCCAUGCCGCGUGUGUGAAGAAGGCCCUCGGGUUGUAAAGCACUUUCAGUGAGGAAGAACGCCUGGUGGUUAAUACCCAUCAGGAAAGACAUCACUCACAGAAGAAGCACCGGCUAACUCCGUGCCAGCAGCCGCGGUAAUACGGAGGGUGCGAGCGUUAAUCGGAAUUACUGGGCGUAAAGCGCGCGUAGGUGGCUUGAUAAGCCGGUUGUGAAAGCCCCGGGCUCAACCUGGGAACGGCAUCCGGAACUGUCAAGCUAGAGUGCAGGAGAGGAAGGUAGAAUUCCCGGUGUAGCGGUGAAAUGCGUAGAGAUCGGGAGGAAUACCAGUGGCGAAGGCGGCCUUCUGGACUGACACUGACACUGAGGUGCGAAAGCGUGGGUAGCAAACAGGAUUAGUACCCGGGUAGUC
rnacentral:rRNA from 1 species